UACAGAGGUGGCAAGCGUUGUUCGGAAUUACUGGGCGUAAAGGGCGCGUAGGCGGUUCGUUAAGUCCUGUGUGAAAUCCCCCGGCUCAACUGGGGAACUGCACAGGAAACUAGCGGGCUUGAGUUCGGGAGAGGGAAGCGGAAUUCCGGGUGUAGCGGUGAAAUGCGUAGAUAUCCGGAGGAACACCGGUGGCGAAGGCGGUUCUCUGGAACGGUA
rnacentral:rRNA from 1 species